CACCCAGACUUUGUUUGACUGGGUAUCUGAUGACUAGUAGGGCGUAUGUAUUGAUGGCUUGGACCUUAUUCCUACCAUUAAGCUGGCUUCUCAGCACCUGUCUUA